rnacentral:rRNA from 1 species
UGGGGAAUCUUGCGCAAUGGGCGGAAGCCUGACGCAGCGACGCCGCGUGCGGGACGAAGGCCUUCGGGUCGUAAACCGCUUUCAGCAGGGACGAGGCCCUCACGGUGACGGUACCUGCAGAAGAAGCCCCGGCUAACUACGUGCCAGCAGCCGCGGUAAUACGUAGGGGGCGAGCGUUAUCCGGAUUCAUUGGGCGUAAAGCGCGCGUAGGCGGCCUGUUAGGUCGGGGGUGAAAUACCGGGGCUCAACCCCGGUCCGCCCCCGAUGCCGGCAGGAUUGAGUCUGGUAGGGGAAGGCGGAAUUCCCAGUGGGGCAGUGGAAUGCGCAGAUAUUGGGAAGAACACCGGCGGCGGAGGCGGCCGUCUGGGCGACGACUGACGCUGAGGCGCGAAAGCUAGGGGAGCGAACAGG